rnacentral:rRNA from 1 species
UACAUAUAGGUGGUAGGGAAGGAGAAAUACGGACCGGACCCUUCCGGGUAGGCUGUUACUAGGUGUUGCAUGGCUGUCGUCAGCUCCGUGUCGUGAGAUGUUCGGUUAAGUCCGCUAACGAGCGCAACCCGCGUUGUGUGUUAUAUGUGUCACACAAUACCGCCGGUAUUAAGCCGGAGGAAGGUGCGGAUGACGUCAAGUCAGCAUGACCUUUAUAUCCAGGGCUACACACACGCUACAAUGGACAGUACAACAGGUUGCCAAGCCGCGAGGCGGAGCCAAUCCUCUAAAGCUGUCCUCAGUUCAGAUUGCAGGCUGCAACUCGCCUGCAUGAAGUUGGAGUUGCUAGUAACCGCAGGUCAGCUAUACUGCGGUGAAUACGUUCCCGGGGAUU